AUCGCUUCUUGGCCUUUUGGCUAAGAUCAAGUGUAGUAAACAGCUAAGUUAUACAUAAUGAUUCUGAUGAAAAGUGAAAUAUUUACUGUGUGUAAUUGAAUUUCUUUUUGCAUUUUUCCAGUUUUAUUGAGAUAUCAUUG
rfam:Myotis davidii contig192297, whole genome shotgun sequence.